rnacentral:tRNA from 1 species
GACCGCGUAGCUCAGUUGGCAGAGCAUUGGGCUAGUAUUCCAAAAGUCGUAGGUUCGAUUCCCCCCGUGGCCG